GGCAUUUUUGGAGCUCGCUGGCUUCGGGUUCCAUCAGAACUCCGAAGUUAAGCGAGUUUGCGCGAGAGCAAUCCUAUGAUGGGUGACCCACUGGGAAGUUCUCGUGUGAGUUCCC
rnacentral:rRNA from 1 species